UGUUCUAGUGCCCUCGCCAAUUCAUUGAUAUAUAUGUUGAUGAGGUUGGGGCUUAAGCUGCAUCCCUGUCUCACACGAUGACCCUGAGAAAAGAAAUCUGUUUAUUGCCAAUUUUAAAAGCACACUUGUUGUUUGUCUACAUGGAUUUUAUAAUGUCAUAUGCUUUCCCCCUAACACCGCUUUCCAUCCAUUUGUAUAGCAGACCCUCAUGCCAAAUUGAGUCAAAAGCUUUUUUGGAAAUCAACGAAGCUUGAGAAGACUUUGACUUUGUUUUGUUUAGUUUGUUUGUCACUAAGGGUAUGCAACUGCUAGAAAUAAGCCAUUUUCUCUGUAGUAAUGGUGGAAACAUAACGGUCACGAAUCUGCCCUCAAUCUAUUAUCUAUGACACUCAGAGGCUGCCAUACAGCCUAUAAUCACAAUAUUAUCUCAGUGAUGUUUUUUUUAUAGGUCGCACGGCUAGAUAUCUACGAGCAAUUUAGAGCAGAUCAAAAAUGGAUUUUGUCAACUUGUGCUUGCUAGCUAGCAAACAUUAGCCAGCUAUCGAGCUAGGUUAGCUAAGGAAACAUGCAGUAAGUCAACGUUGUGCUUGCUAGCUAGCAAAUGUUAGCCAGCUAUCUAGCUGGCCACGGGGAGAAAGGAUGGUGCCUGUAAGUGUGACAUACUCUAUUUUAUAUACUCCAUUUUUCUUUAGAAUUUGACUAGAAUUAGAAUCUUGCUUAUUGACAAUGUUUGUUGUGUCCAUGUGGAGCAAUAAUGUAAUUUACAGUAGACAUUGCCCCUAUAUCUGUCACACCCUGAUCUGUUUCACCUUUUGCCUGAUCCUGUUCGAUUAAUAAACUGUUGUUACUUCGA